GCAUGGGGAGAGCUGCUGAGGAAGCAGAUCCAGCCUCCAAGGAGCACGCUGCAGCUUUUCCUGUCACUGCAGCAGCAGCAGCAGCAGCAGCAGGCAAUGCAUUCCUCGGAGGCUGGAUCUGCUGCCUCUGUAGAUCCUGCCACCCUUGC